GCAGCAGCCACGGUAAUACAGAGGAUGCAAGCGUUAUCCGGAAUGAUUGGGCGUAAAGCGUCUGUAGGUGGCUUUUCAAGUCCGCCGUCAAAUCCCAGGGCUCAACCCUGGACAGGCGGUGGAAACUACCAAGCUGGAGUACGGUAGGGGCAGAGGGUGGUGGAAUUUCCUGUGUAGCGGUGAAAUGCGUAGAGAUCUGGAGGAAUACCGGUGGCGAAGGCGGCCCCCUGGACAAAGACUGACGCUCAGGUGCGAAAGCGUGGGGAGCAAACAGGAUUAGAUACCCCCGUAGUCCCUGUCUC
rnacentral:rRNA from 1 species